rnacentral:rRNA from 1 species
UGUGCCCAGCCGUGCGGUUACACAAUUUAUAAAAAUUAAUUAUUUAGAUAAAAAUAAAAUUUAAAAGGUAAUUUUUUCAAAAAAAUUGAAUUUUUUGGUUAAAUAUUUAAAUUUAAUAAAUUUUUAAUUUUAAUUUAAAUUGAUUUUAAAAUUUUUUCAAAAAAAUUAGGAUUAGAUACCCUAUUAUAGAAUUUUAACUAAAAAUAUUUGAAAAUUAAAUAAUAAAAUAUUAAAUUUAAAAAAAUUGACGGUAUUUUUUAAUUAGAUAAACUUAAAACUUAAUUUGAUACUCCACAAUUGAAUAAACUAAUUUUAUUAAAAGAUAAUUUUUAUAUAUAACUGUUUAGAUAUAAUUUUAUAAUUAUUACUUAAAUUUUUAAAUGAAAAAAAAAUUCAAGUCAUCAUAUAAAUUUAAAUUAGGGAUUUAGAGUUGCUUUAAAAUUUAAUUAGAAAAAAAUUAUUAAUUAAUUAAAAUAAUUUUUUUUAAAAUAUAUUUUUAAUAAAUUAAUAAUGUAUAAAAAUUUUUUUAUAUAAGAAUUUAAAAAUAUUAGAAUUUAAAAAUAAAUUUUUAUAAAUAUAAAAAUUAAAUUUUUACAAAAAUAUGUACAUAUUGCCCGUCAUUCUUGUAGUGAAAUAUAAGACAAGUCGUAACAAAAUAACUUUACUGGAAAGUGAAGUUGGAAUUAUAAAUUUUAAUUUAUGAAUAAAAUUUAAUAUUUAUAGUAUUAUAAAAAGUUAAAUUUAUUAAAAAAUAAAGGUUAAAUUAAUUAAAAAAAUUUAGUUUUGAAAGGGUGGGUAAUUAAUGGGGUGUUUAAUAAAUAAAUUAUUAAAAAUUUUUAAAAUUUUUUUA